rnacentral:rRNA from 1 species
AGUGAACGCUGGCGGCGUGCUUAACACAUGCAAGUCGAACGAGAACGGAUUAUAGCUUGCUAUAAUUGUCAGCUAAGUGGCGCACGGGUGAGUAAUGUAUAGGUAAUAUGCCUUUUACUAAGGAAUAACAAAUGGAAACGUUUGCUAAUACCUUAUACUCCUUAUUAACCUAAGUUAAUAAGGGAAAGAUUUAUUGGUAAGAGAUUAGCCUGUAUUGUAUCAGUUAGUUGGUGGGGUAAUGGCUUACCAAGACUAUGACACAUAACUGGUUUGAGAGGAUGAUCAGUCACACUGGAACUGAGACACGGUCCAGACUCCUACGGGAGGCAGCAGUGGGGAAUAUUGCACAAUGGACGGAAGUCUGAUGCAGCAACGCCGCGUGGAGGAUGGCACAUUUCGGUGCGUAAACUCCUUUUAUAUGAGAAGAUAAUGACGGUAUUAUAUGAAUAAGCACCGGCUAACUCCGUGCCAGCCGCCGCCGCGG